GCCUGGGGGGCUCAGUCGGUUGAGCGCCUGACUUCGGCUCAGGUCAUGAUCUCGCGGUUUGUGAGCUCGAGCCCCGCAUCGGGCU
rfam:Felis catus isolate Cinnamon breed Abyssinian chromosome C1, whole genome shotgun sequence.